CCAGACAGCAGAAGGCGUUUCAGAAGGAAAAGCUUUUAAUUUGAAGGGAAAGGACUCUGUGAUGCCAGGUGAAGAUGCACAGCCUCAUGUUUUGAGCCACAAUUUGGACCCCUCUCUCUGGCAGCAGUUUGCCCAGGGUUGAAAUGACUCUCUCUUCGACUGGAAUACAGUAUGUUUCUAAUGCACCUCAACCCAAAUGACUGAUGGCACAGUCUCUCCAAAGAGCUGGAAGAUGCCUAUUUCUAGCUCCAUGACCAUAUUUGGCACUGACCUCAGGAAAAGGAAAUAAUGCUACCCAUGUCACCCUCCCUUCUUUGCUGGUUAUUUUUGACCAUCCCCCUUACAGCUCCCUUAACCCCCAAGCUCUUUUGUACUCCUUUUGAUAAACAUCAAAUGGCCUUUUUAAAAGAAAAGAAAAAACUCCUUACAGAAUGACUUUUAUGGUCCGAAGAGUCUAAGCAGGAGAGACUUCUGAGAUGAGUGCAGUCAUGUACAUUAAUGUAUCCC
ensembl:lncRNA